rnacentral:rRNA from 1 species
UACGUAGGGUGCAAGCGUUGUCCGGAAUUAUUGGGCGUAAAGAGCUCGUAGGCGGUCUGUCGCGUCGAAUGUGAAAACCCGGGGCUCAACCCCGGGCCUGCAUUCGAUACGGGCGGACUAGAGUUCGGUAGGGGAGUCUGGAAUUCCUGGUGUAGCGGUGAAAUGCGCAGAUAUCAGGAGGAACACCCGUGGCGAAGGCGGCUCUCUGGGACGGUACUGACGCUGAGACGCGAAAGCGUGGGGGAGCGAAACAGG